CCUUGAUACACCUUCGGUUUUUCUGGGGGAAAAGCGACUGAGUCAGUGGUCCGAUGGAAAAGCUGUGGAAAGGCACCCGGAUCGCAAGGCCCCUGGCUCGCGUGACCCGACCCCAGGAGAAGCAGCCCAGUUACCCGACAUCGUGGUCAGCAGCAGCUGGGGCGCUGGCUGGGUGCUGGAGCUCCAGGCACUCGGCGCCUCCCAGGGCCCCUGUGCAGGGAGAGAAGCAGAGAUGCAACAUUUUUAAAGUUUCACAAAGCAUCCAGCUGCACCCAGAUUCCCGGAGCAGGAGACAAACAGAAUUAAUGUUUUAUACCUUCGGGUAUAGGUUUGAGUUUUUCCCCCCUCAUGCCAAGUAUUUAAAACCUCUAGAAACCCA